GAAUUGGCGGGCGGGCUAACACAUGCAAGUCGAGCGGCAGCGGAAGUAGCUUGCUACUUUGCCGGCGAGCGGCGGACGGGUGAGUAAUGUCUGGGAAACUGCCUGAUGGAGGGGGAUAACUACUGGAAACGGUAGCUAAUACCGCAUAACGUCGCAAGACCAAAGAGGGGGACCUUCGGGCCUCUUGCCAUCAGAUGUGCCCAGAUGGGAUUAGCUAGUAGGUGGGGUAACGGCUCACCUAGGCGACGAUCCCUAGCUGGUCUGAGAGGAUGACCAGCCACACUGGAACUGAGACACGGUCCAGACUCCUACGGGAGGCAGCAGUGGGGAAUAUUGCACAAUGGGCGCAAGCCUGAUGCAGCCAUGCCGCGUGUAUGAAGAAGGCCUUCGGGUUGUAAAGUACUUUCAGCGGGGAGGAAGGCGUUGAGGUUAAUAACCUCAGCGAUUGACGUUACCCGCAGAAGAAGCACCGGCUAACUCCGUGCCAGCAGCCGCGGUAAUACGGAGGGUGCAAGCGUUAAUCGGAAUUACUGGGCGUAAAGCGCACGCAGGCGGUCUGUCAAGUCGGAUGUGAAAUCCCCGGGCUCAACCUGGGAACUGCAUUCGAAACUGGCAGGCUAGAGUCUUGUAGAGGGGGGUAGAAUUCCAGGUGUAGCGGUGAAAUGCGUAGAGAUCUGGAGGAAUACCGGUGGCGAAGGCGGCCCCCUGGACAAAGACUGACGCUCAGGUGCGAAAGCGUGGGGAGCAAACAGGAUUAGAUACCCUGGUAGUCCACGCCGUAAACGAUGUCGACUUGGAGGUUGUGCCCUUGAGGCGUGGCUUCCGGAGCUAACGCGUUAAGUCGACCGCCUGGGGAGUACGGCCGCAAGGUUAAAACUCAAAUGAAUUGACGGGGGGCCCGCACAAGCGGUGGAGCAUGUGGUUUAAUUCGAUGCAACGCGAAGAACCUUACCUACUCUUGACAUCCAGAGAACUUAGCAGAGAUGCUUUGGGUGCCUUUCGGGAACUCUGAGACAGGUGCUGCAUGGCCUGUCGUCAGCUCGUGUUGUGAAAUGUUGGGUUAAGUCCCGCAACGAGCGCAACCCUUAUCCUUUGUUGCCAGCGUUAGGCCGGACUCAAAGGAAGACUGCCAGUGAUAAACUGGAGGAGGUUGGGAUGGACGUCCAGGUCAUUCAUGGCCUUACCGAGUUAGGCUUACCACGUUCUACAUGCGCAAUACAGGGAUAGGCGGACCCUCUCGCGGGAGGAGCAAAA
rnacentral:rRNA from 1 species